UCAGCCUUGGUCUGUGGGCUGUAAAUUGCUUUCACUGUUCUGCUCCUGAGACUGAGAACCCCAACGCCUUCACUGCUUACAGAUAUCGAUGUGUUUUUCAGUUUGUUUAUUUCCAGGAAGUUUGAAGGUCGGCAUUACUUGGUAGAUGGUGGAUGAGGGCCCCAGAGCAGAGCAGCACCAUGAGUUUUGUCCCCGAGCAGUUUGCACCAGGGCUGCAGUUGCUUCUGUUGCAAUCCCUGCUGGAGCAGCUGUCCCUUCCUGAAGGGGGAGGAAGAACUCUGGUAUUCUCUCCACGUCAGAAGACCACGCCUGCAUUCCCAAGUGUUGUCCUCCACCACCCAGUAUCUGAGGGAUCACAUCAGCAAUUCCCAACCAGCCCAUAGCAAUGUGGUACAGAGGGGCUUUAUUUUCAUCACCUGUGACUUCGGGCUGAAGCUCCCCAGGAAGGAUUGUUUAGAGAGGAGCAGCACCUUGAAGGAACAUCCAGACACAGCCUUCCUGCUUCCUGACCUCAGCACAGGGAUGCUGAUCUCUGCAAUGCCCUGUCCUUGUCCCCAGGCUCCUCCAGCCCCUUCUUCCAGCCCAGCCCCUCUCACUUGCAGCUCAGCAGUGGUGAGUUAAAAGAAAACUGUGGCAAAUUAAUCUGAAAAGGGAGAGCAGCCUUUGCAGUAGCUGAGGAAUACCUCUCUUAUCUGCACUGUCUGAGGCUGCAGAGCCACUGGGAAUUCAGAUUGGUCUUCACGUCUGAUGCGCUGCUGGGAAAUGCAUUCUGGAUGUUGAGUUUAAACAUGUCUCCAGAGGCAGCACUUGGCUGGCUGGGUGCCUGCUGCACUGCUUCCCAGCUACAUCACUUGGGUCUGGAUUUAAUACCGAGUACAUUCUACUGGUUCCUUUUUAUAGCAGCUGGCAAUAAACACAUCAUGUUACGGCUUUAUUUUGGCUACAGAUUAAUUGUAGAGAAUGUAAUUGCUUCCCCAUUUGAAGCCAGGGGGAAGCCCACAGAGUAGGUCAUCAGCUUCUUGGAGCAUCACCUGGGAGAUGGUCUUUAACAUUUGUUUGUUUUUCUAUAAGUAGGUGAGGAUUAAAAAUCAAAAGCAUCCUGCAACAACUACUCCUCUACCUAGGAAAGCACCAAGUCACUCCUGGUUCUACCGCUGUGAUGAGCAAAGGAAACCUUGAGGGAUAGGUUCGGACUUGUUACACUUAGCACUGCUCCCUUCCUCUUUUAGCUAGUAGGCAAUUAUCAGAUCCGAUCAACAGAAACAGACCUUUCCCAGAGCACAGCUCUUGUGCAGUGUUCUGCAGGUUUGGCCAACUGCACGCCUUCGGUGCUUCAGAUCCAUCUCAACGGUGUUCAGUGUGGCACUCGUGAAUCUUCACUGGGCCCUUCACUGUCCAGGAGGGGACAAUGGGCUGAGCUCUUCCAUCGAGCCUGCAGUCCCCAUUACACCGCUUUCACUCCCAGCAGCUAUUCAGUUCCUGAGUUCUAUAGUUCCUGCAUUUACUGCCUCCCAUGCAUGGGCUGUUCUCCCUCUCUGAUGCAUAGAAAUGUUGAUCUAAACUAUGAGUUGGCAGCUUGGAAGCUUUUCUUCCAGGUACAAUCUCUGCUUCCUAAGCAGGUUUUUGAGGAUGUGUCUAUUGCAGCUUUCAGCACAUCAGUGACAAUCACAGCCAACCUCAUGGUCACUGAGAACUUCAGUUUGCUGCUUGGCCUCUUUGCCUGGAAACAACAGGAUGUUUGUUUGAGAAUGGAGCAAACAAGAUGUGACACUGUGGAGGCUUUUCAGCUUAAAGGGACCACUUCCAUCCCGGAACGCCGGUCUCAUCCCAGCUCUGCAGGCAGCCACGGCACGUGGGCCUUUUUGGAAAUGCACCUGAAGACCGUUCUGGGAUCCUUCCAUCCCACACUUCCUGGCAGGCUGCUCCAGAGCCUUCCUCCUGAGGUUGUGAGUGCUGACUUCUAAACGCUGGGAUGUUCCCACUCGUCUCCACAGCAGUACCCCUCACACUCAGAAAGGUGGUGCUCUUGCAUAUUUUUACUCUUUUUUCUUCCUUCCUUUGUAAGGCUAAAUCAGUAAAGCUCCUCAAGCCUAAUGAAACAGCAGGUUUUUACUCUUUGCAGUACUCUUAAGAAGUGAUAAAUAUCGCCUGGAUUUAAACGUUACUGCCAGUCACGUUUGUUGUUGCAGUGAUCUCAAGCUCGUGUUGUCUCUGACAGCUGAAGGACAGCAGAGCUCCAGGAACUGAAGCCUUUCAGUCAAGUGAACUCUAAAGUAAGAAAACAAUCGUAUUGGUUUGUCUCAAUCAUCUGUGGCCAUUCUGAGAACGUGCAAAUGGCUCAUUAGCAGUUGUAGUGCUUACAGCAGUUAUUAAAUUCUGCUGGGCCAGUAGGCAAAGUCAAACUGUGUUGCAGUUGCAGAUGAAGUUGGUGCAAAGCAGCAGGGAUGAGGGCUGCAGUGGUGUGUCAGCUGUGGGUCACCACUGCGAGCUGCCUGCACAACAAAGCCUGUAAUUUAAUGCCCUUGGCAGUUAUUUGUGCAUCAGUAUCUCAUGAUGCAGGCUGACAAAAACAUUUCCAAUUCAGAACAUAAGAAAAAGUAUAAAAAUGGGAGUGAUACCACAUGUCUGUGCUGGUUCCCAGUCACUCUGAAUGGGUUAGAUGGUGCUUAUCUCAAUUUCAGAACAGUAAGCUUGGCCUGCAGGGUGGAUUUCAUGCUCUAAGUAUGCAGACAAAACUCUUCCUGGUUGGAGGAUAAUUCUGAUGAGUUCUCGAGUCACCAAUCCAAGAAUGGAGGUGUGGAAGGAGCCCAAGGGGAGCAGCUGCUUCCAUCAGUGAGGGAGCAGGUACUGAUCUCAUGAGCAGACACAGAAUCACACAGAAUCAUAGAGUCAUAGAG
ensembl:lncRNA